rnacentral:rRNA from 1 species
GUGAACCGGGAUGAGCUCAAAUUUAAAAUCUGGCGUCUUUCAGGCGUCCGAGUUGUAAUCUAUAGAGGCGUUUUCCGCGCCGGACCGCGUCCAAGUCUCUUGGAAUAGAGUAUCAAAGAGGGUGACAAUCCCGUACUUGACGCGACAACCGGUGCUCUGUGAUACGUUCUCAAUGAGUCGAGUUGUUUGGGAAUGCAGCUCUAAAUGGGUGGUAAAUUCCAUCUAAGGCUAAAUAUUGGCGAGAGACCGAUAGCGAACAAGUACCGUGAGGGAAAGAUGAAAAGCACUUUGGAAAGAGAGUUAAACAGCACGUGAAAUUGUUAAAAGGGAAACGAUUGAAGUCAGUCGUGUGAAAGGUAUUCAGCCGUCUCUGGCGGUGUAUUUGCCUUUCACGGGUCAACAUCAGUUUGAUCCGGUAGAAAAAGGCGGGAGGAAGGUGGCACCCUCGGGUGUGUUAUAGCCUCCUGUCAUAUGUGCCGGACCAGACUGAGGAACGCAGCUUGCCGCAAGGCCGGGGUUCGCCCACGUACAAGCUUAGGAU